AUUGGACGCUGGCGGCAUGCCUUACACAUGCAAGUCGAACGGUAACAGGUCUUCGGAUGCUGACGAGUGGCGAACGGGUGAGUAAUACAUCGGAACGUGCCCGAUCGUGGGGGAUAACGCAGCGAAAGCUGUGCUAAUACCGCAUACGAUCUACGGAUGAAAGCGGGGGAUCUUCGGACCUCGCGCGGACGGAGCGGCCGAUGGCAGAUUAGGUAGUUGGUGGGGUAAAGGCUCACCAAGCCUGCGAUCUGUAGCUGGUCUGAGAGGACGACCAGCCACACUGGGACUGAGACACGGCCCAGACUCCUACGGGAGGCAGCAGUGGGGAAUUUUGGACAAUGGGCGCAAGCCUGAUCCAGCCAUGCCGCGUGCAGGAUGAAGGCCUUCGGGUUGUAAACUGCUUUUGUACGGAACGAAAAGUCUCUUUCUAAUAAAGAGGGAUCAUGACGGUACCGUAAGAAUAAGCACCGGCUAACUACGUGCCAGCAGCCGCCGUAA
rnacentral:rRNA from 1 species